CUUCUCAGCUAUUCGUAUCAACAGAAAAUGGAGGAUGCAGUUUGCAGUUUCGUAAGCUGUGCAAUUUGGACAUCUUCUUAAGGAGACAGAUGAGGAGGUCUCAGAGGGUGAUGUUGGACAAUCGCUCAUCUGCCCAGAGGAUUCUCAUGAGUCAAUGAAAGGCCCUGGUAAAUGCAUAAUUAGUGUUGUGAUCUCCUUGUCAGCAUCAGAACAGGCCAUUAUCAUACCUUCAGUAUGUUCCCGUUCCAAAAUUGCCAUCCAGCAAACCUGCUUUCCUGUACUCUCAACAGGAUAGUUUCCUCAUUAAAUUCUUGUACCAACUUUGUAUCUUCACAGAUCUGUAUAUUUCCUUUUUAUUUUAACUGCCAAAUUCUACCUUUUUCAAUUUUUUUUUCUUUGAAUAUAGUGUUUCACAGUCUUUUACAUCUUAACUGCUGACCUAAUCCUUAGUUGUAACUAACUCCUCAAAAACUAGAAUAGCUUCUUCUUAUGUCUUAUUCACAAAACUAGAACUAUUCACGCUCUUCAUGAACUUGUGUCAUGAACUUCAGCAACUUCUUGUGCGUUAGAGUUUCUUCUACUGCCAAGAUCACUCGAAUAAAAAAUGAAUAAAAAAUUAUACCUGCAACCAAGCUGCACCAUUGAGCAAAUUACAGAAUUUGGUACAGAUCUUUAAUAACACCUUUUAGCAGUGUAGUCUCUUUUUUAAAAAUAAUAGAGGCCUUUAAAAUAAAAAAUGAAGAUGCAAAAAGAGCAAUGAAA